GACGAACGCUGGCGGCGUGCUUAACACAUGCAAGUCGAACGAUGAUCUCCCGCUUGCGGGGGUGGUUAGUGGCGAACGGGUGAGUAAUACGUGAGUAACCUGCCCUUGACACUGGGAUAAGCCUGGGAAACCGGGUCUAAUACUGGAUACUACUUCCUGCCGCAGGGUGGGGGGUGGAAAGGGGUUUAUUUGUUUUGGAUGGGCUCACGGCCUAUCAGCUUGUUGGGGGAGUAAUGGCUCACCAAGUCGACGUCGGGUAGCCGGCCUGAGAGGGUGACAGGCCCAGCUGGGACUGGGACACGACCCAGACCCCAAUGGGAGGCAGGAGGGGGGAAUAUUGCACAAUGGGCGGGAGCCUGAUGCAGCGACGCCGCGUGAGGGAUGAAGGACUUCGGGUUGUAAACCACUUUCAGCAGGGAAGAAGCCACAAGUGACGGAACCUGCAGAAGAAGCGCCGGCUAACUACGUG
rnacentral:rRNA from 1 species